UAGUACAAUGGAGGUGCGACGGCUGUCGCUGACCCUUCAAAGGUCGUGCACGCUCGAGCUCUCUCUUACACAUCCACCUCACCCCUUGUGCAUCGCCGCGUGGGUCCCCCUUCGAGGGGGCUUGCGUUUUUCACAUAAAACUAGAUGCAGUGUAGAAUGUCUUUUAUUUUUGCGGUUACACGCAAUCAAUA
rnacentral:misc_RNA from 1 species